GACAGAGGAUGCAAGCGUUAUCCGGAAUGAUUGGGCGUAAAGCGUCUGUAGGUGGUUUACCAAGUCUGUUGUUAAAAAUCAGGCUUAACCCUGAUCCGGCAACAGAAACUAGUAGGCUGGAGUACGGUAGGGGCAGAGGGAAUUCUCGGGUGUAGUGGUGAAAUACGUAGAUAUCGAGAAGAACACCAAUAGCGAAAGCACUCUGCUGGGCCGAAACUGACAUUGAGAGACGGAAAGCUAGGGGAGCGAAAGGGAUUAAGAAACCCGGGUGAGCCCGACC
rnacentral:rRNA from 1 species